rnacentral:rRNA from 1 species
CCUACGGGAGGCAGCAGUGGGGGAUAUUGCACAAUGGGGGGAACCCUGAUGCAGCGACGCCGCGUGGGUGAAGGAGCGUUUCGGCGCGUAAAGCCCUAUCGGCAGGGAAGAAGGAGGACGGUACCUGACUAAGAAGCCACGGCUAACUACGUGCCAGCAGCCGCGGGAAUACGUCGGGGGCAAGCGUUAUCCGGAUGUACUGGGUGUAAAGGGGGCGCAGACGGCAGCGCAAGCCAGGAGUGAAAGACCGGGGCCCAACCCCGGGACUGCUAUUGGAACUGCGCGGCUGGAGUGCAGGAGGGGCAGGCGGAAUUCCUGGUGUAGCGGUGAAAUGCGUAGAUAUCAGGAGGAACACCGGUGGCGAAGGCGGCCUGCUGGACUGCGACUGACGUUGAGGCCCGAAAGCGUGGGGAGCAAACAGGAUUAGAUACCCCAGUAGUC